GAGACGAUCGUGGGGCGAACGCAGCCGAAGAGGAGCCGAGACCAGGACGAGCGUGCUCUCAGAAAGCCGAAGAGAGCCGAGCUUGAGGAGGCAAGCGUCGGCCGAACUCAGCCGAAGAGGAGCCGAGUGGAGCCGAAGGCUGGAGUUCAGUGCCUGUGGAAUAAGCAGAAUCAUUUACCAACUUCAGAUUCCUGUUUGCCUCCAAAAGACUUAGGCGUGAGGGUGAAUCUGGUCCCUUUUCCUCCAUAUUGGCUGGAAGCAGAAGUCCCAGUGGAUAUUUUUGAGCCCCUGAUCUGUGCCAGGCACUGCUGUAAGCACUGAGUAUUCAAAGAUGAACAAAAUGUUGUGGCCCCAGUCUUCUAAAAUUUGCUAUCAAGAGAAGAAGACAACAAAUGGUCAUGCACGCUAAGAAGUAACCAUGGACCAACAUGAGAAUAAUGGAGACAGGAGCUGCUGCACACUAACAGUUUAAGUGAAGUCUGAAGAAGCAGCCAGUCAUACGAGGAGCAGGAGGACAAGCAUCCCAGUCAUGGAGAACAACUCGUGCAAAGGAUGCGGAAAGCUUGGCACACUCUAGGCACAGAUGGAAGGUCAGUGUGCCUGGGAGAUGUCAGAUCACACGGCAUUGGAGAGGAGGGUCAGAUUUGGGUCAUGGGAGCCUGUGACACCAUCCUAGAGUCUGGGCUGACUUCUAAGCUCAGUGGAAAGUCAUGGAAGGUUUUAAGGAGGAAU